GCUUCAUUCUACGACACUGGCUGGAAACUAGGAAGAAAAACCUCCUCUUCCAACUUUCUAGACUGGUUGAAGGGAAACCUGGAGCUAUCAAAGACCAGCAGCGGGGAGAGUAUGCCUGUGGAGAAUGAGGCCAACCCAAAAAAAAGCAGAGAAAUGAAAAUUCUAGGUCUUUCCGUGGAGCCCAGCCCUUAUCAUGGAAAUCCUUCUGCCUCAGCCUCCUGAGUGCUGGGAUGAUAGACAUCUGCCACCAUGCCUGGAGACAUCUGUUAACACUCUUCUGUAAAAUAAAAAAAAUAGAAUCUA